AUGUGUGUUCUGAAGGAAAGGGGUGGCAUGGGCUUUCGUGAUAUUAGUAGUUUUAACUUGGCUAUGCUGGCGAAGCAGUGCUGGAGACUGGUUGACAACUAUGUCUGACAAUGUGCUAGAGUGAUGAGGUCCAAAUAUUAUCCAGAUGGUGACUUGCUUAAUUGUGAACUCAAAAAAGGCUCCUCCUAUGUUUGGCAAAGUAUUUGGGCAGGAAUUCAAACCUUCAAAAAGGUUGUAUCUGGAGGUUGGAAAUGGUUUGAAAAUAAACAUAUGGUAAGAUUGUUGGAUCCCGAAUAG
rnacentral:rRNA from 1 species